rnacentral:lncRNA from 1 species
AAAUAAACUUUUAUUUAAGUUACAUGUACAGUUCAUUAAUAAAAGAAAAAUGCUUGUCUACAGGUCAGCAGGACUUGAUGCAUUCCAACAUGUGUCUAUAGAAUUCUGAAGAUCCUGAGCAUGAUAAUGUAGCCGUAUGCUCUAGAAUCCCAAGGCAUUAUAUGCUCUUAAAUCACAUUUUGGUAUCGAGUGACAUUUUAAAAGGGGCAAGGUAGUUUUUUUCAAAGCCAGUCACUUUAUGCAAAGAAUUCUUUUCUCCCUGUGCGUGUGUAUAAAUAGAGAAAUACCUAGGUCUCAGGGGUAGAUUCCAGAAUAUCUAAGAUCCAUCAGUCACUUGACCUAAGUCAUAGUUAUUCCUGUUUUACUGGGUAUGUCUUGUGAGAACCUUACAAUGUAUGAUUGGUUUUGAUACAGUUUGUACACAGGAGGGAUGUUGCCUGUCCAUAAAUUCCUUCAGGGGAUCUUUUUCUUCUACUUUGCAAUCCAGUAAUCUACUUCUACUUCACAAGGAGAAUAAUUCUGCAACUUCUGGCAUCUUGAAGCAUGGCACACAUAACAAUGUUUUGCUAGUGUUAUACUACUGGUACACCACUAUAUUGGAUGCCAGCCAUUUAGGGCAUCUGACACACUGGGAAACUACUGAGGGAUCCCUACUAUCAGUAGUAAAGGGGACUCAGCAAACAUGUAGUGUGACAUCUGGCUUAACCUUUACACAUCUCUGCCUCCUUUUCUGAGAGGGGAUGGCAGGAAGCAUAUAGGGUUUGGAAUCUGUGGUCUCAAUUUUCACAUCAUAAAAUGAAGACACUUACCAACUUGGGUUGUUGUGAAGAUCAAAAGAAAAAAAAUACAUGCCAGCACUUAUUUAACACAUUAUUAAGCUAUUAAGAUGUUAAGGGAAACUCAAAAUGCUUUAGCACCAUCCAAAGACUGUGUAGGCUACCAAAUAUUUAUUUCCAUGUUCUAGGCAGUAAAGUCAAAAGAUUGGAACAGAAACCCACAGGCUAAAUGUCUAGGGUUUAAAUCAUGGAACCCUUGAAGCUUUUUUUUUAACUGUAUAAAGGUUAUAUCACUACCUGAAAUUCACACCUAGAUCUCAUCAGACAGGUGUAGUGGAACACACUUGGGACAAGGUCUAAUGCUUGUGCUCAAUGAGUCAAGUUACUGUAACCCUCCCUGGUAAAGUCACAUAGGAGGUUCUAGAUCGUGCCACAAUGAAUACAAAUAAAGGCAUAGAUCGAGAGUAACCUCCAGCAGUAACACUUGCCUUGCACUCACUAAAUGCCAGACAUGGUGGUGCUGAGUCUGUCUAUGCCUUCUCACUUAACCUUCACCAUGGCAUGGCAACAGUCUCCAUCUUGUCCAUUUACUGAGGGGAUUAGUAGCUUGCCCAAGCUACCAUGUCAAGACUGACACCAGGGUCCAUGCUUGUGAACCUCCUUGCUGACCACCUAAUUUUCCCCUCACACACAAUGAAAAAGAAAACUAUUGAUGAUGUGUCCAGGGCCCC